UACGUAGGGUGCGAGCGUUGCCCGGAUUUAUUGGGCGUAAAGGGCGCGUAGGCGGGCCAUCAAGUCGAGGGUGAAAGCCCCCAGCUCAACUGGGGAAGUGCCUCCGAUACUGGUGGUCUCGAGGGAGAUAGGGGCGUGCGGAACUUCCGGUGGAGCGGUGAAAUGCGUAGAUAUCGGAAGGAACACCGGUGGCGAAAGCGGCGCGCUGGAUCUCUUCUGACGCUGAGGUGCGAAAGCGUGGGGAGCAAACAGG
rnacentral:rRNA from 1 species